rnacentral:rRNA from 1 species
AAGAUAUCGGCAGGAACGCCGGUGGGGAAGCCGGUCUCUUGGGCCGACCCCGACGCUGAGGCCCGAAAGCCAGGGGAGCAAACCGGAUUAGAUACCCGGGUAGUCCUGGCUGUAAACGAUGCCCACUAGGUGUGGGGGGAUAAUCCCUCCGUGCUGAAGCUAACGCGUUAAGUGGGCCGCCUGGGGAGUACGCCCGCAAGGGUGAAACUCAAAGGAAUUGACGGGGGCCCGCACAAGCGGUGGAGCGUGUGGUUUAAUUGGAUGCUAAGCCAAGAACCUUACCAGGGCUUGACAUGCCGGUGGUACCUCCCCGAAAGGGGUAGGGACCCAGUCCUUCGGGACUGGGAGCCGGCACAGGUGGUGCACGGCCGUCGUCAGCUCGUGCCGUGAGGUGUUGGGUUAAGUCCCGCAACGAGCGCAACCCCUGCCCCUAGUUGCCAGCGGUUCGGCCGGGCACUCUAGGGGGACUGCCGGCGACGAGCCGGAGGAAGGAGGGGAUGACGUCAGGUACUCGUGCCCCUUAUGCCCUGGGCGACACACGCGCUACAAUGGGCGGUACAAUGGGUUGCGACCCCGCGAGGGGGAGCCAAUCCCCAAAGCCGCCCUCAGUUCGGAUCGCAGGCUGCAACCCGCCUGCGUGAAGCCGGAAUCGCUAGUAAUCGCGGAUCAGCCAUGCCGCGGUGAAUACGUUCCCGGGCCUUGUACACACCGCCCGUCACGCCACCCGAGUCGGGGGCUCCCGAAGACACCUGCCCCAACCCGAAAGGGAGGGGGGGUGUCGAGGGAGAACCUGGCGAGGGGGGCGAAGUCGUAACAAGGU